rnacentral:rRNA from 1 species
UGGGGAAUAUUGCACAAUGGGGGAAACCCUGAUGCAGCGACGCCGCGUGAGCGAUGAAGGCUUUCGAGUCGUAAAGCUCUGUCCUAUGGGAAGAUAAUGACGGUACCAUAGAAGAAAGCCCCGGCUAAUUACGUGCCAGCAGCCGCGGUAAUACGUAAGGGGCGAGCGUUGUCCGGAAUUAUUGGGCGUAACGAGUGCGUAGGCGGCAAAUUAAGUCAGAUGUGAAAACUAAGGGCUCAACCCAUAGAUUGCAUCUGAAACUGAUAUGCUUGAGUCAAGGAGAGGAAAGUGGAAUUACUAGUGUAGCGGUGGAAUGCGUAGAUAUUAGGAGGAAAACCGGUGGCGAAGGCGACUUUCUGGACUUGAACUGACGCUGAGGCACGAAAGCGUGGGGAGCAAACAGG